AACGUAGGUGGCGAGCGUUAUCCGGAAUUACUGGGCGUAAAGCGUGUGCAGGCGGGCUGUCAAGUGGUGUAUGAAAUCUCCCGGCUUAACCGGGAUAGGUUAUGCCAGACUGGCAGUCUAGAGGCUGAGAGAGGAGCGUGGAAUUCCGGGUGUAGUGGUGAAAUGCGCAGAGAUCCGGAGGAACCCCAGAGGCGAAGGCGGUUGCCUGGAGCUUUGCUGACGCUGAUGCGCGAAAGCGUGGGGAGCGAUCCGG
rnacentral:rRNA from 1 species